CCUUGGGCCUGAGGCAGGGGCGGGGCGGACCGGCCUUUCCCUCCCCCGCAACUUUCCUCCUUCCUUUCUUCCCAGGCACCUGCAGCAGGCUACACCGGCCAGCCACCCAAACUCCUCUGCCUGCCUGACCUCACAUCCUAGACGGACGGUCAGAGCCGCCGGCCUCUCGGGCCCAUCCGAUCUGACACUUGGCUUUGCAGGAGGAGGGACACAGGCCCUAAGCAAGAGGCUGACCGACUUGUCCAAGGUCACGUGGCACAUGGCCCAGUCCAGACCUUUCUCCUUUGGGGAGAAACAGCACAGCUCAAGGUCUGGUUGUAGAACUCGGGGCCAGAUCUUCCUGCCCCAAUUCUGCUUGGGGAGCCGCAGGGACCGGAGGGGGGGCCUGGGGCCUGAUCGCCUGAGACCCUGCACGGGAGGGAAGGGCAGGAACCUCCGCGGCCGACCAUCCAGGCCCUGACUGGCGGCAGGGCGCCCAAUUCAAUUUGCUUAUCUCCCUUCCUGCCUCUCUCUUUCCUGUGCUCUUCAAUUACAGGCAGAGCCCGUGUCUUUUCCAAUAAGCACACAGAUGUCACAGGGUCUGCGUGGGCGGGGACGCAGGGCGUCCUCCAUGGCUCCACACUCCCUGGUCCCAGCCUUGGACCAGGACGGACCGGCCUAGGUCAGCGUGCCCAGGCCCUGCCCCCAGCCAGCUGGCCGCAGAGGGCCAGGCAGGCAGCCCGGGCAGCUGGACGGCAGCAACCAAAGGUAAAACUGCACAGAUCUUGUCAGCUAGCGAGUCCCUUCUGGAACGGACAGGUAUAUGCAGAUGUACACAGAUGCUCAUUACAACGCUGUCCAGAAACGCGAGAGACUAGAAACAACCUAAACGUCCAUCCACGGGAAGGUUACAAAUGUUAGCAGCCUUGAGCCGUGCCAUGGAAAUGGUGAAUGAGGCCUCGUCCUGUCAGGGCGAACAUCUGGAAGGCAGGCAGUGGGGGCCAGCGACAGCGAAGUCUGGGCUCUUACAUAAAAGGCGAUGAGCUGGUCGCCCUGGAGGUCACAUCAAGGAGCGAAGUGGGCGGUGCACGAAAGACACUUUUUCUCGAAGCCGCCGGCCCUCCCAGGUGAUCUGGCGUCCUUCCGUUUUUACAAGGCAGGCGCCUUUCUCUAAACCCCUGUCCCUGAGAGAACACCAUCAGGACACCCUCCCAGCCCCACUUCCUGGAAACACCCUGAAAGCGACACGGGAUAAAAACACCAGCUCCAUUUCUGCAAAACUGGGAGAGGGCUACCUCCCUGGACCCACACACACAGAGCAGACAGGCAGGGCCGCCC